CCGGAACUGGUCACAGUUCUAUUCACAGAGGGUGCAUGGAUCUGCUUCCUCCUGCCCGUGGGGUACUCCCGGGGACCGCCUCGAAGAGACACUGCAGGACGGGGCUGUGGGCUGUGGCCGGUGGGUCCAGGUCCAGCCCUCUGAGCUGUGUCCUGCUGCGGAAGAGGUAAAUCAGGAUGCAGAACUCAGCUUCCUCCAGCAAGCACUUGGAGCCCCGAGGAAGGGUGAGGGUGCUCAGGGGGUCCUCCCCUCCCUGCCCCAGGCCUCAGGCUGGAGAUAUGGGGGGGCUCCUUGUCCCCGCGCAGGGGUCCCACUGUGCAGAGCCAGCCAGGUGAGGCCUGGAAGUCGUGCACAGCUGGGCUGGGCGGCAGCUGCUGCAUCUCGGGAAAUGCCUCCCUACAUCUGCUCUGGGUAGAUUCUUGUCGUCUAGAGACCCAGCUGAGCUGUUUCCACCACAGAAGCCUUUUCAGCACAUCCUCCAGCCACCCAGCUGCCCCUCGCCACAGUCCCCUCCCCACACUGACUGUGGCUCCAUUCUCUGUCUGUUCCCACAGUGCCUCACGUGGAAUGUAGAGUGUGAGGACAGAACCUCUGUGUUCUUAAGUUCUUUCUUCCCACUAGCCUGGGAAAGUGCUCGCCUGUGGAGGUAUUGUAUCAAUCUGCGGUCCCGUGGCGGGCACAUAGUAGGUCUCCAAUCAAUCUGAAGGGCCGCUCGGGGCUCCGACACAGGCCACCCCACCCUCUGCUCGGCUUCAUUGGUUGGUGGCUCAGUUUCCUUGUAAGUUGGCACCACUUUAUCAGAAGGUUGCAGGUGACAGUGGUAAAGAGAAGUAGUGGGAACAGCUCAGGAGAUGAGAAAAAAAUGCCUAAUAUCAUCACCGCUUGUUGAUCCUAGAAAAAUGUAUUCUCCACUGGAGCCCUGCCACUUCCUAGGCUGUGUUCAUACCCCACCCACCCUUGGCCACCAGUCAGGAACAAAAAAAUUUAGAACACUGUCCUCACGAGAGCACGGUGAGGGAGAGAAUGUGUGUCACACGAGGCCACACACAGGGCACCAAAUCUCUUGGGACAGAUAGUGGAGGUCUGAUGCUGACAGUUAAUGUUGGCCGCCCCUCCUUAGUAAUACCUUUUCCAGGCCCAAGUACAAACUCUCCCGGUAUAAUUUACUUAUUUUCUUUUGGUACUGGGGAUCGACCUCGGGACCUUGUGCUUUCGAGACAGGUGCGGCACCACUGAGCUAAAUCCCCAGCCCCCUGUAAUUAACUUUAUAUAACACCUAAGCACACACAGAAAACUUGGGAGUACAGAGCCACAAAGAGAAAGGGGGAGAGAGACAGAGCGAGCUCCGUGUGAAGAUGCCCUCAGUUAAUAUUUCCUUGGGUUCCUCCUAGAUCCUUGCAUGAACCCACAUAAGCAUUUACAAUUCUUUUAGAAUAUGGGGAUUACAUUGUUUUGGAAACUUGCCUUUUAAAAAAGUGAACAUGUGGCUUGAAUGUCCUUCUGUAUCCCUCCAUGCAUGGCUUCCGGUGGCUGCCGCAUGUCCUGAGGGGACCUUUCUACAGCACCCUCUUCCACUCAACAGUCACCAGACCCCAGCUCCACCCCCAAGCCCUCAGUUUUGCCCUAAAAGAGCAGCUGCUGAGUCCUGCACAGCCACACCCCUGCUGGUCCUCUAGGGAGGGCAAAGCAGGCCGUCCUGGCCUUCUGUCAAAGGCCCUGUCCCCUGUGGCCAUCCGGGCCCCUCCUCUCAGGCAGCACUGGUCAGCCCUGCUGGGAAAGGCCC
ensembl:lncRNA